AAGCGCGGAAUUGAAUUGAGAGAGAGAGAGAGAGAAAAAAGGAAGAGCAGUGCGUCCUCAGUGUUCUCGUGUUGUGUUUUUUUUUUUUUUUUUUUUUUUUU
rnacentral:ribozyme from 1 species